UAAAAAUACUUUUUUAAAUAUAUGAAUCACCAUAUUUAGACUGUGAUAAAUAGAUAGCACGACAAUUUGGUACCAAGUGUACCACUGGGAAAGUAAGAAUACACUAGACUACAAGACUACAAGACUUCAAAACUCCUGGCUUCAAGACUUUUAGCUUCAAGACUUUUGGCUUCAAGACGUUUAAGUUCAAGACUUCAUCGGACUUCACCAGAUUACACGGACUGUCAUGGACAUCAUCGAAUCGUAUACACCAAACUUCAAGACUUCUGGCUUCAAGAUUUCCGGUUUCAGAACUUCCGGCUUCAGGACUUCCGGCUUCAGAACUUCCAGCUUCAGGGCUUUCGCAAUCAACGAACUCUUGUCAAAUAUAAUAAUAUUUAUUAUUUUCUUUUACUUUAGAAAAGAAGGUGUCGUGCUAGAUUCACGAAAUUAGCACAUUUUUAUUUCUGUUUUUUUUUGAGGGGGUAAAAACUGCAGAACUCUUUGUUAUUAUUCAGAAUUAUAAAAAGUGCCAUUGGAACUCUAUGUAUUAUUUUCAUAUUAACAGAAUGUCGUGCCAACUUCAUAGAGCCCUCUUCGCGUCGUUUCAUUAUCGUCCUUUUAAACGCGAUUAUUUCCUACGUUGAGUACAAUCAACGAUUAUAAACUUGCACAAUGUAUUCUCCUGAUUAACGACUUACAAUGAGGCAUUGUAGAAGUAAAUGAUAAAUUUGUUCGAGCAAGUCACUUGAUUUUAUCUGACUGAAGUAAGAAAUCGUAAAAGAUAGCGCAAAUUAUAUCACUGUUUUGUGUUUACGGCAAUAAUUAUAUUAUUAAUGAUCGUGGAUUAAUUACAUUACUCGCGAAUCUCGACGCUCGGCGGACAGCGUGCUGCAGCGUGAUAAAAGGCGAGUUUUUUUUUAACUCAUCGAGAUUGGUCAUAUUCGCAAAUAUAACUUUUACAGAAUAAAGUUGUACUUGCAUAUAAUGCGAUUGAUUAAUCUAUGAGUUAGAAAACUCGCCCAAGGCCAUCUUGUUUACAUUCGCGUAAUGAGGCUCGACAUGAGGCAGACACUGCUCUGCAUUGAAUUAUUCGAAAAUGAAAAUUCGUAUCUUCCUCAAACAUUUCGUCAAUCAUUUAUCAAUAAUGCGUGUUAUUAAAAAAUUACAGUGCUCCUGUAAUAUUGAAAUUGAUUAUAUACUUUUGUACAGUUUAUGAAUUUUUUAAUUCUCCAUCAAUUAGAAUUUUAUUAAAUACUUAUCAAAUACUUAUUACAUAAUUAUCGUACGUAUCAUGAUAAUGUUGUUAACGUUACUUUCCAAUUCUUGAUCAAUAACGGAAUGUCAAUUAUAUAACGGAUUAUAUAACGGAUUAAAUCGAAACCGGAUUUGAUCGCGCCGCGUUUAAAGAUUUUGUAAUUAUCGAUGACUAUUAAAGUCGUAUUAAUAUUUCGUUAACCGUGCAAUAUAACUUUAACGUUCGGUUAAAAUGCGCACUUCGUAAGAAUCGUUUGAUCAAAUGAAUAUUAUGCAAGCAAUCGAUGAAGGGAAGACCAUACUUUCGUUGUAUUUUGUGAAUAUUUGCUUAUAACUAGUUAUUUGUUAUUAAUAAUAUGAAAAGAGAAAGCAAUGGAUACAGCAGCAGAUAUCGAGUGACAUCAAUCACGUGAUUUUUCUCUUUGCGGCUAAGGAUCAUCAAUUACAUCCAUUCGCAAACAAAUCGUAAUCUUGAAAGUUUGUAUUUAUUCUUACGCAGAACGCGUACCGUGUGCGGUUAAUGUCGGUAGUGCCGUAUGUAUAAAGUGUCGCGUACGCAAUCGUAAUAUUCUGACAAGUGCGCGAGUGAGUGUGUCCAACGAGAGAAUAUGAGACGUGGAGAAGGAGGAAGUCUAGGAGGCAUCAAUCGAGCGUUGGCAGCAAUUAGGAGUUCAAUAUGCAGUUUGCAACGUAAUUUACUUCGCUAUGUAUGAAAAGUGGGGUUAGGAGCAACAGGUACACGGGCGCGGCAGAUCACGAGUGAAAUUGAUCGCAUGACUUUUGGAAUCUCUCCGUCGCUGCAAGAUUCGUCGAUUACGUUAAUUCGCGAAGGAAUCGUAGUCUCGAGUGCUCGUUACUCUUACGCAAUGAAAUGCGUAUCGCGUAUACGCCGGGUGUGCCGUACAAGUAUCGCGCGAUAGUAAACUUCGUGUUCGCGAGUGAAUGUGUGUGUGUGUGUGUGUGAGUGCAACGAGGAAAUCUGGCAGGACGACGACGAGGCUGCAUCAUCGGGCGACGACGGAGCGCAAUCACGAGGUAAAUAUAACCUAAUUUAUUAUUUGCGAUGUUAAUCGUUUAUUUUCUCGUCUAUUUAAACAUGCCUGUGUCCGAAUGAUUUGAAAAUGAGAACUUUUAAUUGUGAUACUUUUAACGACUUAUUUAAAAACAUGAUUAUUUUCAAAGAACGCUCGAUAAUCGUUUCAUUAAAUAUUUAUUUCAAGGCGAAUGAAAAAUUCAAAGCGCGCAAUAAUAAUUUUCUAAAAAUAUUAUUGAUUUCGUGUGCUUUAAUAAUUUGGUUCUGUGUGUUAACAUUUCAGUAUGUGGCUUGCAUCGCACUCCGCUCUGUUGCGCAUCGUAUCGGUGAGUCUAUUUUUGAUUUUGAUCUAGGAUAAUGGAUCUACGAAGUUUGCAGUAGAAAUUAUUUUACAUGAUUACAGAAUAGAAAUAUAACGUUUCUUAAAUUCAUUAUCCUAAAAUAAUUAAGCUAAAUAACUUAUUUUUUACUUUAAGCUGCUUAAAAGAAAACAGAAUAACGCGAGCUCCGAUAACAAAGUAUUUAUUAUCGCGAAAAACCAGAAAAACUUGGAAUUAAUUUUUUAUUGUUGAAAAUCAUGGAUUUUUCGUACAAUUUUAUUGAUUUUGGUAAAAGUAUGUUUGGAAAACUUUACUUUACAAAAAUUCUAUCUCUCUUUUUUUUACAAAAUUGUUUCUUUGAUCAUUUUUCUUAAUAAUGUAAAAUCUCGAUUAGCAAUAAAUAUGGCAUACACAUUUACAUACAUUUUCUUGCGACUCGCGUUUUUAUAGAAAAAUGAGUGACAAUAGACAUUACAUCGUUCUAAAUUGGUAUUGUGUAUGUUUAGUAAUCUUUUUUUUUUUAAUUCUUUACUUCGGUGAGUUAGAUUCGUGCGGACAGAUAUGCCAUAUUUUGUUCAUAUUAUUUCUUUUUAUUAGUCUCAAAUUUCAUAUUUAAAACUUAAGUGACUUUUCUUUAUUCAUGUUUAUGAUUAAAGAAUUUUAAAAGGUAUAAUUAAAAAAAAAUUACUUCAAAGUUAUAUUAAAAAGUUAUCUAAUUUUGUUUGAAGUUUUGAUUAAAACUCCUAAAAAAUCCAGGAAUUUUCAUUCAAUUUUUUUACACAAUUUGAGUGAACACCCUGAAUAAAUAUUUCGUCGCAGAAUAGAAGAAAAAUACAAUAUAAAUAAAGCGACAGAUGUGAUCGAUUCUCGAACAAGGUUAAGAUAAUUUCUGUAGAAAGUUUAAGAUAAUUUCUAUAUUAUAUACUAUAUUUUCUGUAUUUUAUUUAAUAAUUAAUAAUUAAUCGUGAAGAAUGGAUUUGAAUUCACGCGAGAAGGUUUCAUAUAAUUCUAAUAAUUAGCAGAAAUGAGAAUAAUUAGCAAAUAUUUUUUGUUAAUCAUUAUCGUAAACUGCUAACAGACUAUAACUAGGGCUUACUGUCCCUACACGGAAAGAAUAAUUUCACUGAUCUAAAAAUUGCUGGAUAUGAAAAUAAUUGUAUUGGACUAUCAGAAUAAUUAUGACAGAUACUCAAGCAUGAUAAGCUGCAAAAAAUUUCGACAUUUCACCAACUAAAUAGUUUGGUCUAACAUAAUUAUUUUGAAGGCUUAACAAAAUUAUUUUCAAAUCUGCAUCCAGUUAAAUUUUUAGAUACUUUAGCAAAACUAUUUUUUUCCAUGUAGUAUAUAUAAAAACAUUGCGAACACUUGGCACUUCUUAUAAAGUCUAGUCAAUGCGAGAUACUUGUGUCGAUUAGUCAAUAUCAUUUGAUUUAUAUAUCUGGCGAAAGAGUCCGUCGGAUAAUCCAUCCGCUCUUCGUUACGCCGUAAUUCCAUCAAGCUCCCCCAAUUAAUCCGUUCGAUGCGUAUAGCAUGAAAUGCAAAUUGGCGAGCUUGGGCGCACUUUCGGACUUAAUUGUCGUCGCCGGAAAUGCCCGCUUAAGCGAAUCUGGUAUUUAUAUUGCCGAUAAACGGGGAAUGCAUAUUAAAACAUGCAAAUCGACUAGAUAAAAAUUCGGGUCGCUCCCCCACGCUGUUAAACGGCCGGAAUGCUGAGCCACGGAGAUUUCAGGGAUUUCGGACAGAAGGGUGCUCACGGCCGGAGUUUUGAACGAUCGCGAGUUCGUGCUUUACUGGCUGUUUCGAAGAAAGGGAAUAUAUAUCGCGUCGCUGCUGCUGAUGCAAACGAUUCGACAUGAAAUUCCGACGGUAACACGCCACGUGCAUUCCUGUCACGCGUGUCGGCUUCCCUAACAAAGCGAGGGGUUGCGGCCGGGCAUAUGCGGGUAAAUCAAAAUUUCGCAUCUCCUACGCGAUCGGAUCUGCGUCGGUAUCGUUUUGCAUUAUCUAUACCGUUAUUUCCCUUGAAUUUCGAAACGCUACGCAAUGAAUAAUCGAGAAUCGGUUUCUAGAGUAACAAUAUAAACGAUAAUA